GGGGGCGACUGGCUUCGACGGGUCGCGUGAUGCUGUCGUUGCGUGUCCAGGUUCCUGGUGCCCUGGUUAAACACGCCGGGAAAAUACACAAUUGCCAAUUCUGAUCUGGCAUUGGCUGCUUAAGCGUAAAGCUUAACGCACCUGCCCUUGUGGCAGCCCGCCUGAGGCGGCGCGAGGGUAUCGGAAAGUCAGGCUGCGGUUUCACGUUGCUUCCGCGUGAAGCUCAAGUUUUUGGAAGAUUGUCCGUCGAUUUGGGCUGGUUGUGCGCCGUUCGGCGGAGACCUCAAGCACGACCUACGCACGUAGAGCGACUGUGGAUCGUGGUUCGGACCGGGGU
rnacentral:tmRNA from 1 species